UACGGGAGGCAGCAGUGGGGAAUAUUGGACAAUGGGGGCAACCCUGAUCCAGCAAUUCUGUGUGCACGAAGAAGGUUUUCGGAUUGUAAAGUGCUUUCAGCAGGGAAGAAGAAAGUGACGGUACCUGUCAGAAGAAGCGACGGCUAAAUACGUGCCAGCAGCCGCGGUAAU
rnacentral:rRNA from 1 species